UACGUAGGGUGCAAGCGUUGUCCGGAAUUAUUGGGCGUAAAGAGCUCGUAGGCGGUUUGUCGCGUCGGCUGUGAAAACCCGGGGCUCAACCCCGGGCCUGCAGCCGAUACGGGCAAACUAGAGUGCGGUAGGGGAGACUGGAAUUCCUGGUGUAGCGGUGAAAUGCGCAGAUAUCAGGAGGAACACCGGUGGCGAAGGCGGGUCUCUGGGCCGUAACUGACGCUGAGGAGCGAAAGCGUGGGGAGCGAACAGG
rnacentral:rRNA from 1 species